GGGUGCGAUCAUACCACUACUAAUGCACGAGAUCCCAUUAAAACUCCGUUGUUAAGCGUGGUUGCGUGAGCGUAGUACUAGGAUGGGUGACCUCCUGGGAAGUCUUUGUGUUUUACCUC
rnacentral:rRNA from 1 species